ACUCUUUAGGAACAUUAAAAUACCGAUACAAGGAAGAAAGUGACUGUUCGUGUCUAUGACCAUGUUUGGAAAGCUGCUGUGAAUUCGGUGAGGAUUUUGGAUUACUUGGCGCACAGAAACUGAAAUGGAUGGAAGAGAUAUUUGUCUGAUGAUAAUACUGGGUAUCACUGUCGGAGAAAGUGACGGAAAAACGCUUUUUGAUUUGUUUUCACAAAAUUAUUGUUUACAGUAGUCUGCAAUCUGCAAAAAGUGGAAUUGCAAGUAUUUUGUUAGAGGUUAUGUUUUUGUUGAUUUACCAGUUGCCUGUCUAGACUGAUAGAGUGCGCUGGCAGCGCGCCGCGCGCCUAAUCGACAAAUCUCUUUUUCUUUUUCGAUGAAUCAGUUCCGAGGUGACCGUGGCGCGUGGGGCUUGGUGUCGGUCGUCGCUGUGUGUGUUGUUGUUGUCUUAUCAACUUUUGCGGUAGUGUUGGUGUUUUCAUAACUCGUUGUGACAAUUUCUUUACUCUUGAAGUGUUACCGUGCUUCGUAAACUAGUGUCACACUGUCAUUUUUGAUUCAGUGCCCAUUUACUUUGGAUUAAUUGGAUUCUCCAGGCAGCGGAACAGGUGUAUUUCGUCUCAGAGGCACAGUGUCCGUUGACGAGUGGAUCUCAACUGCCGCAUGAGAGCGACAGAAUCGGACGUCAUGCUGUGAUCACGUCACGUCCCGCUCGGACUGCACCCGCCCGUCAAACGUCCAGGAUUAUGGCGACGCUGCCGUGCCUUCCUGAAACCUAAAAUCAGGUAUGUACUUUUCAUUUUCAUCCAAUUCAAACCAGUAAUGUAGUUCGAAAAAAUUGUGACGUUUAAAACCCUACUCGGUAAGUUUCAGUCAAAGCUUUAAUUGAACGAGACAUUAUUAUGAAUAGAGAAAGGAAUCAAAGUGCAGAAAAACUCAAAAUAUAGAAAUGAGAACCACCGCUCAAGAAUCUUUCGUUUAAUAUGAACCAAAGCUCAUUGUCGCAGUAUUCGUGGAGUUGCCGCAGUCAGGAAAAAUCGGGAAAUGUCAGAGAAUUUUAAAAGUCCGGGAAAUCCUGGAAUUGUCAGGAAAAAUGACGAAAGGGAUAGGGAAAAAUUGUAAAUUUACCUUUAUUAGCACUUUAGAAUGGAUUUGACGUUCAGAACAACCAAUAAUGUCUAAAAACUUAUUCAAAUUAUGUCUUUUUUGCCAUAUUAC
rnacentral:lncRNA from 1 species